rnacentral:rRNA from 1 species
GAUGAACGCUAGCGAUAGGCUUAACACAUGCAAGUCGAGGGGCAGCACAAGGUAGCUUGCUAUCUGGGUGGCGACCGGCGCACGGGUGCGUAACGCGUAUGCAACUUGCCCUAUACAGGAGGAUAACCCGUCGAAAGACGGACUAAUACUGCGUAUGCUCACAACUUGGCAUCAAGCGGUGAGGAAAGAAAUUCGGUAUAGGAUAGGCAUGCGUCCCAUUAGCUUGUUGGUGAGGUAACGGCUCACCAAGGCAACGAUGGGUAGGGGAACUGAGAGGUUUAUCCCCCACACUGGUACUGAGACACGGACCAGACUCCUACGGGAGGCAGCAGUGAGGAAUAGUGGUCAAUGGGCGCGAGCCUGAACCAGCCAAGUCGCGUGAAGGAUGACUGUCUUAUGGAUUGUAAACUUCUUUUAUACGGGGAUAACAAGAGUCACGUGUGACUCCCUGCAUGUACCGUAUGAAUAAGCAUCGGCUAACUCCGUG